GGCCCGGUGGCUCAGUUGGUUAGAGCGCUGCCCUGUCACGGCAGAGGUCAGGGGUUCAAGUCCCCUUCGGGUCG
rnacentral:tRNA from 1 species